UAGAAUAUAUUUUAUUUAGAAUAUUUGUUUUGGGGACAAAAGGUCUUAUUAUUUAAGUUUUCUAA
rnacentral:tRNA from 1 species